CCGUGCUAGGUGGGGAGGUAGCGGUGCCCUGAACCUGCAAUCCGCUCUAGCAGGACUGAACUCCUACCCGAGGCUGUCUAACUGUAGGGCCUGUCUUACACAAGUGGUGUUGACGUUUGGGUCCUGCGCAAUGGGAAUCCAUGAACCAUGUCAGGUCCGGAAGGAAGCAGCAUUAAGUGGAAUCUCUCAUGUGCCGCAGGGGUGCCUGAGCUGAGCUAACUAUGUAAGCAACGCCUAUGGUUAGCAGUCGAAGGUUGGUGCACGG
rnacentral:SRP_RNA from 2 species